AUUGAACGCUGGCGGCGUGCUUAACACAUGCAAGUCGAACGAUGAAGCCGGAGCUUGCUCUGGUGAAUUAGUGGCGAACGGGUGAGUAACACGUGAGUAACCUGCCCUUGACUCUGGGAUAACUGCUAGAAAUGGUAGCUAAUACCGGAUACGACCCUCGGAGGCAUCUCCAGGGGGUGGAAAGAAUUUCGGUCAAGGAUGGACUCGCGGCCUAUCAGCUAGUUGGUGAGGUAACGGCUCACCAAGGCGACGACGGGUAGCCGGCCUGAGAGGGUGACCGGCCACACUGGGACUGAGACACGGCCCAGACUCCUACGGGAGGCAGCAGUGGGGAAUAUUGCACAAUGGGCGCAAGCCUGAUGCAGCAACGCCGCGUGAGGGAUGACGGCCUUCGGGUUGUAAACCUCUUUUAGUAGGGAAGAAGCGAAAGUGACGGUACCUGCAGAAAAAGCACCGGCUAACUACGUGCCAGCCGCCGCCGUAA
rnacentral:rRNA from 1 species